rnacentral:rRNA from 1 species
UGGCGGCAGGCUUAACACAUGCAAGUCGAACGAUGAAGUCUAGCUUGCUAGACGGAUUAGUGGCGAACGGGUGAGUAAUGCUUAGGAAUCUGCCUAUUAGUGGGGGAUAACGUAGGGAAACUUACGCUAAUACCGCAUACGACCUACGGGUGAAAGGGGGCGUUUAGCUCUCGCUAAUAGAUGAGCCUAAGUCGGAUUAGCUGGUUGGUGGGGUAAAGGCCUACCAAGGCGACGAUCUGUAGCUGGUCUGAGAGGAUGGUCAGCCACACUGGGACUGAGACACGGCCCAGACUCCUACGGGAGGCAGCAGUGGGGAAUAUUGGACAAUGGGCGAAAGCCUGAUCCAGCCAUGCCGCGUGUGUGAAGAAGGCCUUUUGGUUGUAAAGCACUUUAAGUGGGGAGGAAAAGCUUGUGGUUAAUACCCAUAAGCCCUGACGUUACCCACAGAAUAAGCACCGGCUAACUCUGUGCCAGCAGCCGCGGUAAUACAGAGGGUGCAAGCGUUAAUCGGAAUUACUGGGCGUAAAGCGCGCGUAGGUGGUUAUUUAAGUCAGAUGUGAAAGCCCCGGGCUUAACCUGGGAACUGCAUCUGAUACUGGAUAACUAGAGUAGGUGAGAGGGGAGUAGAAUUCCAGGUGUAGCGGUGAAAUGCGUAGAGAUCUGGAGGAAUACC